rnacentral:lncRNA from 1 species
AGAGGAGACUUUCUGUUCUCUGUUUGGUUAUUGUUCCAGUUCUUGCUGCUCUAACAGCAGCAUUUUGUCCUGUCCUGGGCACAACAGCAGCUUGUUCCAGCUGCCAGCUUCUGUUUAAGCUCCCAGAACCAGCCUCACCAUGCCUCCCUAGAGGUCCCAGCCAGCAGCAGCUGGGCAACGUCUCUGCCCUGGGGGGUCCCUUCUCCAAAAUUCCAUCUCUUGAUACAUCCAGUCCCUUCCCAUUGCUCCCCUAGCACUGGGGGUAAUAGCUGCUUCCUGUUCAUUAUUAUCAGUGUCCCUGGUCCCCUUUUUUUCUGUCAGCCCUUCAUCACCUUUGUAACCAAUUGCCUACGUUAAAUUCCUUCUGUUGAAAGAACUGCCUGGAUACUGCUGGACUUUUGACUCUUGUCAAUGGAAGUGGAUGACAGCAGGGUUACCUGUCUGAAGGUGUCUCUCUGUGCUCAGCCCUCCCUCUGGGGAGGCUGAGUUGUCACUUCCCCAUCAGAGGAAGACAAUCUGUCUCUGACCAGUGUCCUGGCUAAGAUGGGGCCCCGGUGGAGGUGUGUGAGCAGAUGACUCAGAGACUCUUCUUCAUAUUAAAAUAUUCCAGUAAUUAUGUCAGGGCCGAUCCGGCUCACGCAUGGCACUUUACAAAAGAUACACAAAUCGUGGCCCAGUAGGCUCUGGGCCAGAACACACGCAAGGCACCGGCGUGCUCCACAGCACCGCGGGCGGAUCAGAGCAUCUCCAGCCUGUCAAAGACCCACUCCUCUGUAUCUCUCCACGGGAGACAAGCCAUUUGCCGGAGCCACAUAAUGGAGCAUUCAGCCUUUGAAUUGCCACUUCUCUGAAGACUCUACAGGGCUAUGAGGGUGACUGCCUCAGGCCGGGAGGAAGGGAGGAAGGUAGGAAGGAGGUUUUGAGCCUUUAUCUGACUAGAAAGAGGCUGCUAUAGGCCCACAAAAUCAAGGUCUCACCCCCUCACCCCUGAGAGGCAGCCAGGCGUCCUGGGCAAGAGUGAUGCUGUCUCCACACCGCAGGGGCAGCAAGCAAGGCUGUAGACAGGGCUGUUCCAAUGUGUGACCCCAAGAAGACACCUGCCAAGGAGAAGGAGGCAGUGCGGGCCCCUGAGAAGGAGCUGCCCAGCCUGCGUGUGUGUGCUGGGGGCCGAGGCUGUUGGUUUCAGUGCAUUAAAUCAUGGACUGCUCUCCACUGCGUUACUAUUCC